rnacentral:rRNA from 1 species
GAUGAACGCUGGCGGCGUGCUUAACACAUGCAAGUCGAACGAUGAAGCCCAGCUUGCUGGGUGGAUUAGUGGCGAACGGGUGAGUAACACGUGAGUAACCUGCCCUUAACUCUGGGAUAAGCCUGGGAAACUGGGUCUAAUACCGGAUAGGAGCGCCUACCGCAUGGUGGGUGUUGGAAAGAUUUAUCGGUUUUGGAUGGACUCGCGGCCUAUCAGCUUGUUUGUGAGGUAAUGGCUCACCAAGGCGACGACGGGUAGCCGGCCUGAGAGGGUGACCGGCCACACUGGGACUGCGACACGGCCCAGACUCCUACGGGAGGCAGCAGUGGGGAAUAUUGCACAAUGGGCGAAAGCCUGAUGCAGCGACGCCGCGUGAGGGAUGACGGCCUUCGGGUUGUAAACCUCUUUCAGUAGGGAAGAAGCGAAAGUGACGGUACCUGCAGAAGAAGCACCGGCUAACUACGUG